rnacentral:rRNA from 1 species
AUGUCGUCGUCGCCUUCCUCGGCCCAUUGGCUCGGCAUCGUCGGGACCAUCUGGCUACAGACCAUCAACGGCCCCAACUCCGACUUCCCCGUCUACUCGUCGCAGCUCAAGGAGCUCAAGGGCAUCUCCCAGGUGCAGCUCAACUUCCUCGCAUUCGCCUCCGACGCCGGCAAGCUCUUUGGCUGGUUCUCCGGCGUGGCCGCGCUCUACGUGCCGCUCCCGAUCGUCGCCUUCGUCGGCGCGUGCUUCGGCCUCGUCGGCUACGGUGUGCAGUUCCUCUUGUUGGACAGCCCAGGGCUCAAGUUCUGGCACCUGUUCCUGCUCACCGCCCUCGCCGGGAACGGCAUCUGCUGGAUCAACACCGUCUGCUACCUGCUGAGCGUCAACAACUUCGCGUCCAGGAGCCGCGUCGCCGUCAGCCUCGCCACCAGCUACCUGGGCCUCAGCGCCACGGUGUACACCAGCCUGGCCGAGACCUUGCCCCGCCUGGCCGACUCCAAGGCCAAGACGUACCUCCUCCUCAAUGCCGUGGUGCCGGUGAUCGUCUCCGUGUUCGUGGCGCCGGCCCUCAGGCUGUUCGACCUCAAGAGCGACUCCAUGUCGAGCACGGACACGGCAUUCCUCGUCAUGUUCGCGAUCACGCUCGCCACCGGGGCGUGCGCCAUGGUCGGCAGCAUCGGCUCCACGGCCAGCUGGCUGUCCUCCAGGGAGCAGAUGGUGAGCCUCAGCGUGCUGCUGGCCGUCCCCAUGGUUAUCCCGGUGGCGCUCAAGAUGCGGGAGGGCAUGAACAAGGUCGGGGAGAACAUGAUCCACGAUCUCGCCACCGAUGACGCCGUGGUCGUGAUCGAGGUGACGGACUUGGAGACCACCGCCGCCGAGGAGGAGGUCGGAGGCCUCCAGCUGCUCAAGAAGCCGGACUUCUGGCUAUACUUCUUCAGCUACAUGCUCAGCGGCACCCUGGGCCUGGUCUACCUCAACAAUCUUGGACAGAUUGCCGAGUCGCGAGGUCUCGGCCGGACUUCCACUCUGGUCUCCCUGUCGUCUUCCUUCGGCUUCUUCGGUCGCCUCCUCCCGUCCUUCAUGGACUACUACUCUGCAAAAAGCGGCCACAGCAUAUCCAGGACGGGGUCCAUGGCGUCGCUGAUGGCUCCUAUGGCGUGCGCCUUCUUCCUCUUGCUCAACCAGGGCAGCGUCUUCCUGUACGCGAGCACGGCCAUCAUCGGGACCUGCACGGGGGCCAUGACGUCGGUGGCAGUGUCGGCGACGAGCGAGCUGUUCGGCGCCAAGAACUUCGCCGUCAACCACAACGUCCUGGUGUCCAACAUCCCCGUCGGCUCGCUCUGCUUCGGCUACUUCUCGGCGUUCCUGUACCAGCGGGAGGCCAGCGCGCGGGGCGCCGCCACAUGCUCCGGCGCCAGCUGCUACCAGGCGACCUUCGCCAUCUGGGGCGCCAGCUGCGUCGUCGGCACGCUGCUCUGCGUCGUCCUCUACGUCCGGUCGCGCAGCUUCGCCGGCAAGCUGCCGGUGAGGUUACAGUGGCUGUCCCGCUUAGCUAACUUCCUAGGUGCUCGUCAGAAGGUAACAUUCAAAUACAUGAAUUUGACCGUAAACUCGCCAUUCCUAGUUAGCUUCCAACACAGCUUAUCAGGUCGUUGA